rnacentral:rRNA from 1 species
GUGGGGAAUUUUGGACAAUGGGCGAAAGCCUGAUCCAGCAAUGCCGCGUGUGUGAAGAAGGCCUUCGGGUUGUAAACUGCUUUUGUACGGAACGAAACGGCUCUGGUUAAUACCCGGGGCUAAUGACGGUACCGUAAGAAUAAGCACCGGCUAACUACGUGCCAGCAGCCGCGGUAAUCCGUAGGGUGCAAGCGUUAAUCGGAAUUACUGGGCGUAAAGCGUGCGCAGGCGGUUGUGUAAGACAGGCGUGAAAUCCCCGGGCUCAACCUGGGAAUUGCGCUUGUGACUGCACAGCUGGAGUGCGGCAGAGGGGGAUGGAAUUCCGCGUGUAGCAGUGAAAUGCGUAGAUAUGCGGAGGAACACCGAUGGCGAAGGCAAUCCCCUGGGCCUGCACUGACGCUCAUGCACGAAAGCGUGGGGAGCAAGCAGGAUUAGAAACCCGGGUAGUCC